rnacentral:rRNA from 1 species
UACGUAGGGGGCAAGCGUUGUCCGGAUUUAUUGGGCGUAAAGAGCGUGUAGGCGGUUUGGUAGGUCCGCUGUGAAAACUCGAGCUCAACCUCGAGACGCCGGUGGAAACCAUCAGACUAGAGUCCGGAAGAGGAGAGUGGAAAUUCCUGGUGUAGCGGUGAAAUGCGCAGAUAUCAGGAAGAACACCCGUGGCUAAGGCGGCUCUCUAGUACGGUACUGACGCUGAGACGCGAAAGCGUGGGGAGCGAACAGG